AGCGAACGCUGGCGGCAGGCCUAACACAUGCAAGUCGAACGAACUCUUCGGAGUUAGUGGCGGACGGGUGAGUAACACGUGGGAACGUGCCUUUAGGUUCGGAAUAACUCAGGGAAACUUAUGCUAAUACCGAAUGUGCCCUCGGGGGAAAGAUUUAUCGCCUUUAGAGCGGCCCGCGUCUGAUUAGCUAGUUGGUGAGGUAAAGGCUCACCAAGGCGACGAUCAGUAGCUGGUCUGAGAGGAUGAUCAGCCACAUUGGGACUGAGACACGGCCCAAACUCCUACGGGAGGCAGCAGUGGGGAAUCUUGCGCAAUGGGCGAAAGCCUGACGCAGCCAUGCCGCGUGAAUGAUGAAGGUCUUAGGAUUGUAAAAUUCUUUCACCGGGGACGAUAAUGACGGUACCCGGAGAAGAAGCCCCGGCUAACUUCGUG
rnacentral:rRNA from 1 species